GAGGAGCACACGAAGAGCAGCUCCAGUAUGUCCCCUUUGAUGGAGGAAAUGCCAGAGUCUGUUGUGGGAAAGAAAGCUGCAUCCAAGUUCCUGCCCAUCUCUGCCACGCCCCAACCAGAGAAGCAUCACCCUGUUCAGAGACGACACUCCAUGGAAAAAAGACGCUCCAACAAGUGUCCGAACCAUUCUUGCCGCCAUCCAAACAGACCUCCAAGUCUCUGGAGGAGUUUUGUUACCCUGUGGAGUGUUUGACUCUGACUGUGGAGGAAGUGAUGCACAUUCCGGAAAGGUGCUCGUCAAGGCUGAGCUGGAAGAAGUUCAGCAGUACAAAGAGUCUACACGCUUUGAAGAAAGGAAAGAGGUAGGAUACUAUGAGAGCGUCUGUUCCCUCUCUAUGUGCAGCUCUAUUAUAUUAUAUAAUAUUAUACGUUUCUCCUCCUGUCCUGCCCGUAGCUUUGUUUUUCAUGUCGGACCAAAAGGUUCAUCUUUGUUCACUUGGGCCUACACCUGCCAGUUCUGCAAAAGACGGGUGUGUUCACAGUGUUCAACAAAGGUACGCAGCUGCUCCACCCUUUGA
rnacentral:lncRNA from 1 species